rnacentral:rRNA from 1 species
GAUGAACGCUGGCGGCGUGCCUAAUACAUGCAAGUCGAGCGCACGGACGAGAUGCUUGCUCCUAUGAUGUUAGCAGCGGACGGGUGAGUAACGCGUGGAUAACCUACCUAUAAGACUGGGACAACUUCUGGAAACCGGUGCUAAUACCGGAUAAUAUUUUGAAACGCAUGUUUCAAAAGUGAAAGAUGCUCUUGCUGUACCUUAUAGUUGUCUCCGCUCUGAAUUAGCUAGUUGGUAAGGUAACGGCUUACCAAGGGAACGAUCAUACGCCGACCUGGGAGGUGGUCCGCCAAAACGGGAAUGGAGACACGCUCCAGAUUCCUACGGGAGGCAGCAGUAGGGAAUCUUCGGCAAUGGGCGAAGGCCGGACGGGGCACGGCCGCGGGGGGGAGGAAGGUCUUCGGAUGGAAAAACUCUGUUAUUGGGGAAGAACAUAUGUGGAAGUAACUGCGCACAUCGUGACGGUACCUAAUCAGAAAGCGACGGCUAACUACGUG